GGAGGGGUUCGCGUGAGGGACUUAACCUACCUUUGCUGGCUUGAAGAAACCAAAAAUUUGUUUUUUGUCUUUCAAAUUAAAUUUGGAAGUCACAUUUGACCUCUGAAACUUACAAAUUUUAAACACCAGCAUUUAGAAAGUAAUCGCUCUUUUAAUUCCCCACCGACAACCAGCAAGGAAGCGAAUUUAGUCAAUAACCUAAAUAAGCAAGGAAGUGAAUUUUUCCCUGAAGCCUCCAGAAGGAAUGUGGUCCUGAAAAUACCUUCAUUUUAGCCUGAUGAAACCCCUGUUGGACUUCUGAACUUCAGAUAUGUCCCAAGGAUCUUCCAUGUGGACUUGCUGCCAGGACUGCCUUACAACAUAGUGACUGUGUUCCCUCAGGGCAACUGAGUGAAAAGAGGGAGAGAAGAGGCAUGACUGGCUAACCAAGAAAGAAUGCAGAGUCCGACAUUCUGACCUAAUGUCAGAGGUGACACACCAACACUUAGGCCGUGUUCUGUUUCUCACCAAUGACUAAAUCCACCUGGGAUAGAGAAGAGUGGAUGACAACUGAAUACCAAGAAAGGAAGCUCUCUGGGGGCUAUGUUAGAGCCUACCUGCCAUGCCUCCUUCCUGAACCAACCAAAAUAAACCAGAAUAUAUCA